GGGGGCGAACUGGCUUCGACGGGUUUAGUGAAGGUGGAGCAGCGUGCCGAGGGCGCCCGGACCCUCGUAAAUCAACCGGGCAAAAUCACAACUGCCAACGACAACUUGGCACUGGCUGCUUAAACAUUAAGUAGCCCGUCUCUUGAUCGACCGGGCCCGAGGUCGGUCUCGAGGCGUCGAUAAAUCGGGCUGGCCGGCCACGUGGCCGCGGCGUGUCCGGUGAGAUCUUACAGCGGCUAGCUUCCGGAGAGGCCGCCUAUCGGCCGAUGCGGGGCGAACCAACGAACGGUAGGCUACGCACGUAGCGGCUCUGCCGGAUCUAUUUCCGGACGCGGGUUCGAUUCCCGCCGCCUCCAUCA
rnacentral:tmRNA from 2 species